rnacentral:rRNA from 1 species
UACGUAGGGUGCGAGCGUUAAUCGGAAUUACUGGGCGUAAAGCGUGCGUAGGCGGUCCGCGAAGUCUGAAUGUGAAAGGCCCCGGGCUCCAACCUGGGAACUGCAAUUGGAAACUAACCGGGCUCGAGUGUGGCAGGAGGGGGUGGGAAUUCCACGUGUAGCAGUGAAAUGCGUAGAGAUGUGGAGGAACACCGAUGGCGAAGGCAGCCCCCUGGGCUAACACUGACGCUCAGGCACGAAAGCGUGGGGAGCAAACAGG